UGAGGGUUGGUGCAGCGGCAGCACGACGGGUUCUGACCCCGUUAACCAAGGUUCGAAUCCUUGACCCUCAGCCA
rnacentral:tRNA from 1 species